rnacentral:rRNA from 1 species
UGUCAGCUAGUCCCUGUCGGUGCGUGAGAGCACCGACCCGGGCAACAUCGUCAAACUGCGGGAAAGCCCUGCCACGACUCUCGGGACCUCACCGCCCCAGCAAUGGAAGCGGGUGCCUGCGGCCAACGGCCGCGGGUACGGUAAAGCACCGAAGUCUAGGGGCAAUCCGCCGCCAAACCCUCCCCGCGCCGGGAGGGCCCAGCUCACAGGCCAGACGGCGAUGGGCGCUCUCGCGCUUAAGAUAUGGUCGAGUGACUCGCCGAGAGGCGGGUGCAACUCAGGAACGUCCGUAGGUGAACCUGCGGAAGGAUCAUU